GCGAUACUUGAGAGUCGAGCGGUAACAGGGGUAGCUUGCUACCCGCUGACGAGCGGCGGACGGGUGAGUAAUGCAUAGGAAUCUGCCCGGUAGUGGGGGAUAACCUGGGGAAACCCAGGCUAAUACCGCAUACGUCCUACGGGAGAAAGGGGGCUUCGGCUCCCGCUAUUGGAUGAGCCUAUGUCGGAUUAGCUAGUUGGUGAGGUAAUGGCUCACCAAGGCGACGAU
rnacentral:rRNA from 1 species